UUUGUCUUGUUUUUGUUUGGGGAGUUGUUGUUUUUUGCUGUUUUAUUUGAGUUAGAUUGAGUUAGGUGUUAGUGUUAGUGUAGGAAUCUUUCAUCGUCGAGGAACAGCGAUCCUGCUUAUUAUGUUGCGCAGGAUCCGAGGCUUCUUUUCCAGGAGGAGCAGUCGGGUGGCCCCCCUGGAUGCCCCAGGGGAGCCCACAGCCUCCAAGCCAGCUGCCUGCCCCUGUUGGUGGUGCAUCUGUGGGAGGAAGAACCGGGUGGCCCCUGCUCCCACCGUGCUGCCUCCCUCGCUGCCGCCAGUUGGGGAGAGCAGCGAGCCCGGGCCGUCAGCGCCCCCCGUGCAGGAUGCUGGAGCUUCCAGCCCCUGCCAUCUCAUUCACGCCAGGCUGCAGAGGGUACAUCAAGCCGGAACGCUGAAGGAAGGAGGCGGAGGGAAGGAGCGGAGGGGCAGGAUGGCUUUCCUGAUGGCCCUGAUCCAGGCCUGCCAGGAAGCCAUCCGGAGGGGGGAGCAGCGCCUUCCGUUUUCGAAAGGGCUGGCCGCCCAGGCCGUGCUGGAGGAGAUGGCCUACAUCUGGGAGGACCCCGUGCCCCACCACCUCUUCUCCCUCUGCACAGAGGCCAUUGCCUCCUUAAGUUGGAUGAAGCCCUGCUUGGGAGCCAAAAUGGAGCAAAAGCUCAUCUCAGAAUCCAUCUUCUGGAUGAACCAUAUGAUUGGAGGAGAGCCGGAGGAAGACCGAGAAAGCCCGUUUCUGCCCCCGCAGAGGUCCAUGAGGAGGAUGCUGGAAGCAAUGCUCACUGAGAAGCCCACCCUGGCCCACCUCAUCAGGAUUGCUGAGGCCAUAGACGCUGAGAUUUUCAGCGAGGAUGAGGAGGAGGCAGCCAUGGCGGAGAAUGUUGGAUUCUUGCUCCUCAACAUGGCCAUUGGACCCCCCUUCUAUUUUGAGGCAGAGCAGAUCAAGCCACUCCUGCCACUGGGCAUUCGGAGGGUGGGCCGAACGACAUCCAGGGCCAAGGGCGAUGGGAGCCAUUCCUCCGAUUAAGACGACCUCUUCGUGUGAGCGUUGGAAUUUGAGGACAACUGAGAGAUACUGGCCGACCAAAUUCAGCUGGGGAAGCCGUUUGGGAAUUCCAGCCCGGAAGCCUCCUCCUUUCCCCGGGGGUGGGCAGGGCCCCUUUUGCAAACUAAGCCCUGCCCGUCUCCUCUCUCAACCAACAGACCUCUUCGAGCCAGGAGAGGACCUUGAGGGGAGCCAACAUGGAGGUGAAUGGCUGGAGUUUUCAGAGCUCCUCCGAAACACUUGUGUUUUUCCUGUCAGUGCCGAUCUGCAUACUUCCUCAAGUCAAACCGUUUGCAGAUAAAAAGAGAACUCCAACUUGAUUUACUACGACAAUAGAUAGAACUUUAAUAUGGGACGGAAAAAACGCUCGCGUGCAUAGUAUCGUGCCAGAGGGGAUGGUAAAGCAAGUGGGACUGAACAACCAUUCGGGACAGAAAAAUGAGAUACUGACUCAAAUUUCCUCGAAUGAAGGAGAAAAAAGGCAUAAUACUCCUUAUGAUUAUAUUGAUCUAGCCCUUGACGGAUCACAGAACACCCCAAAGACGUUACUAGAAAUUGCAGGACUUGGUGAGCCUCCAGAAAACCUCUGAUGAACCUCAGUCAAGGAUUAAUUUUUUAGAACCACAAGCUUUCGCUGAUCUUGCUGAGCUCUCUAUGGAACAUGACUCAGUGGCGGACCUGCAAAACCAAGGUCCAAUACACAAUAACCAACUCUUGACUGACCAUGUGAGAGUAGCCCUGUAUGAAAAUGCUCAAUUGAAGGAAAAUAGCUGGAGGGGGAUACUAACUGACCCUCAUUUGGAUAACAUCACAGCUCUACUGACACCUACAGUAAGGACAAUUCCUCGCCAAAGAGAGAUGCCCAGACUAGGUUCGGUAAAGAUACUUUUAGUGUAAACAGCUUCCUAGAGCAAGAGAUCAAGCGACUCCCUGAUUUAGACACAGUUUCAUCGAGGACAAUAACUCCGCUGGACAAUGAGUGCUGCAAUAGAUCUUUGCAGAGAACAUCUGAAAUAAUGGGACAGAUCCAGGGACCUACCCCGUCUGAACAGGGAAACAUGCUGCUUGUAGAUUGACAUUCAAAGCCUUUUAACCAGGUUGCAACACUUGUAUGGAAUGUGGCUGACUUAAGGUCUGAAAUUACAGACCCUGAUUUUAUGUCCUUUAUCACCAAGCACGAGAGAUUGAUAAUGCAGGAAACUUGGUGGACAGAAGAUAUUACUCUUCCUGGUUGUAUAUCGAUUUCAUUAAAUACGGGAAGAACUGCAUGCAGAGGCAGACCGAGUGGUGGCUUGCCAGUCUUGGCCUCCACAGCUCUGACUUCACAACUGUCCCUGCUUACUAGGACCUUACUAGGAGAGGACCUGGAUUUUGGUGACGUUCUCCAGGAGUAGCUCCCUUCCACUGCAAGCCCCAGGACAAACCUGGCAAGAAAGUGAAAUGCAAGAAGAAGAUCCUAGGAGAAGAUCCCCGUGUGGUUCUUGCCACCUUGGAUUGGGCUGAGCAGAACCAGGAUCUCCAGGAAGGCAAGUCCAUGAGUGGGGUACCCAGUGUGGUUGUCCAUGGGGAUCUGGCCAAGGGUUGUAGUGGCAUGUCAGAAGGAGAGGAUGUUAUUUGUGUUGUGGUUGAAGAGCUUGUGUACCAAACAUUUCAAGGCUGCUUUGACCUGAAAGAAUUCUGAGUCAAUUUGAUGUAACCAUGUGAUGUCAUUUGUAGAAAUGGUUGUCCAGGGCUAAGCUGGUAUCAGCGUCAAGGUGCUGGACUGACUUGGCCUGAACCAAGUAUAUUCUCGAGACCCUAAAGACCUUGGACGAAGGUUUAUGGACAGAGGGACAGGAAAUGUCUUGUGGGCAGCUGAAAUCGCUGGCCAACGGAAGUUUCUCAAAAGGGAGUCUGUCAAAAAGAAAAGGAAUCACAAGAAUGUGGACAUAGGCAGACCUUGUGACUUUGUGCAACAGGUGACCUUCUGGACUAACGACCAUGUGGUUCAGUGGUCACGGACUAUGAGGACUUUGGGCUCCAAGUGGCAAAGGUGGUCCUGGACGCUGCAAGAGUCACAGAUGCGGGUCCAGCAUGUGCCUGGCAAAGAAAACACCCUCAAGGAGUUUUCUCUGUCUGGAGAGGGGGAAUCUCAGCCUGGAAGGAUGGCCUGGAUGUGGCCCACAAGUACCCUCUGAAGACCAGCGCUGAAAUCCUGGAAGGGCCAGGCAGUAUUGAGCCCCAGACCUCUGCCGAGAGCAGGACAAGAGACUGCCCAUCCAGCAAGCCAGACGCCGAGAAGAGAGAGAAUCCAGAGAACUCUGUGCAGGGACCAGUGUAGGGUGUUAGAUUCUGCCUGCCUGGAACAUAAUGGGAACUGGGCUUCCGAGAAGACUUGUUCAGUUCGGCGGGGCUGAAUUGGUAUUUUCCAUUCAGUGGGGCCAUCCCGAGGUCUGUUGUGUUCGAGGGGGAACCCGUGGGUGUAGCAGAUGUGAAUAGGAAAUUCGGAUUCCUUCCCUCGCUUUGGUUCCGGUUCAGCCCAACGUCAACUUUGUUUACGGUGAACGAUCCCAGCACUCGCUCCCCAAGGAAACACACAGCCAUGAGCCAUCUUC